rnacentral:misc_RNA from 1 species
AACGCACCUUGCGCUCUUGGGUCAUUCCUAGGAGCAUGUUCGUUUCAGUGUCGCGUAACCCUCUCAACCCCGCCUUGUUAACUCGAGGUCGUUCAGGGUUGGAUCAUGACGCCUGCUUUACUGCUAAGCUGCGUUGAAAUACAACAAGCUGUACCUUUGUACUGGCGGCUUGACCCGUUGUCAUAAGCUCACACUUUCAAUGGGGACGCCACGUCGGGAUGGGCUUACCACAAAUCAAACUCAUUACUUUGACCUGAAAUCGAGCAGGACUACCCCCUGAACUUAA